GACGUAGGGCGCAAGCGUUAAUCGGAAUUACUGGGCGUAAAGCGUGCGCCGGCGGUUAUGCAAGACAGAUGUGAAAUCCCCGGGCUCAACCUGGGAACUGCAUUUGUGACUGCAUAGCUAGAGUGCGGCAGAGGGAGAUGGAAUUCCGCGUGUAGCAGUGAAAUGCGUAGAUAUGCGGAGGAACACCGAUGGCGAAGGCAAUCUCCUGGGCUUGCACUGACGCUCAUGCACGAAAGCGUGGGGAGCAAACAGG
rnacentral:rRNA from 1 species